rnacentral:tRNA from 1 species
GCCUCGGUAGCUCAGUCGACAUAGCGCGUGUCUCUUAAGUCCAUGGCGGUGGGUUCGAGCCCCACCCGAGGUG